GACGAACGCUGGCGGCGUGCUUAACACAUGCAAGUCGAACGGAAAGGCCCUGCUUUUGUGGGGUGCUCGAGUGGCGAACGGGUGAGUAACACGUGAGUAACCUGCCCUUGACUUUGGGAUAACUUCAGGAAACUGGGGCUAAUACCGGAUAGGAGCUCCUGCUGCAUGGUGGGGGUUGGAAAGUUUCGGCGGUUGGGGAUGGACUCGCGGCUUAUCAGCUUGUUGGUGGGGUAGUGGCUUACCAAGGCUUUGACGGGUAGCCGGCCUGAGAGGGUGACCGGCCACAUUGGGACUGAGAUACGGCCCAGACUCCUACGGGAGGCAGCAGUGGGGAAUAUUGCACAAUGGGCGGAAGCCUGAUGCAGCAACGCCGCGUGCGGGAUGACGGCCUUCAGGUUGUAAACCGCUUUCGCCUGUGACGAAGCGUGAGUGACGGUAAUGGGGAAAGAAGCACCGGCUAACUACGU
rnacentral:rRNA from 1 species